AUUACUUCUCAGCUUUCUAGCUAAGAUUCAGUUAAGAAUCUAUUCUCAUCAGCGUAAAAUGUGAUUUGUCCUGUAUCCACAGACAGUACAAUGAAGAGUACCUGUGGUAGGAAGAUGGAGAGGGAGCUUGUUCUAGCUAUUCCUUUCAGCAACCUGAGUGUGCAGCACUGCCCAAACAGCUCACCCUCU